UUUUUAAACUUCCCUUCCCCCAAUAAUGCAGCUCGUAUAAUGGUAAAUGCAGCAGCCUGGAUCCAUGCAGAGCCCCAGCCUGCUGGCAGCAGAGUAAUAAACUGGUAGGUGGCUGCAGUAGAAGAAGGACUUCUUCAGACUGGUGAUUGUGACCUGAAAAUUCUGCAGAGGGGGAAGUGGAACAUGAAAUGGACGAUGGAAACAAAGGGGAAAGAGGAUGGAAGAGAGAUUAAGGCUCCUGGGAUUUAUACUCUGGGUGUUUUCUUUCAGGUUUUUGAAGUAGAAAGUGAUCAUCCUCCCUUGUUUACUCUGUGGUCAUUUUGGAUGAAGAUAUAUAUUCGACCAGAUAGACCUUAGGUGGGGUAAAACGCAGAAGAAAGAAGCAACAGUCUCAACUAAUUUGACUGUAAUCAUAUUUUCAUAAUAAAAUACUAUGAAACUAGAACCUCA
rnacentral:lncRNA from 1 species